rnacentral:rRNA from 1 species
GUAAGGAAUAUUGGUCAAUGGACGAAAGUCUGAACCAGCCAUGCCGCGUGAAGGAUGAAGGCCCUCUGGGUUGUAAACUUCUUUUAUCUGGGACGAAAAAAGGGUAUUCUUACUCACUUGACGGUACCAGAGGAAUAAGCACCGGCUAACUCCGUGCCAGCAGCCGCGGUAAUACGGAGGGUGCAAGCGUUAUCCGGAUUCACUGGGUUUAAAGGGUGCGUAGGUGGGUAUUUAAGUCAGUGGUGAAAUCUCCGAGCUUAACUCGGAAACUGCCAUUGAUACUAUUUACCUUGAAUGCCCUGGAGGUAAGCGGAAUAUGUCAUGUAGCGGUGAAAUGCUUAGAUAUGACAUUGAACACCAAUUGCGAAGGCAGCUUACUACGGGGUGAUUGACACUGAGGCACGAAAGCGUGGGAAGCAAACAGGAUUAGAAACCCGGGUAGUCC